rnacentral:rRNA from 1 species
AACGAACGCUGGCGGCAUGCCUAACACAUGCAAGUCGAACGAGACCUUCGGGUCUAGUGGCGCACGGGUGCGUAACGCGUGGGAACCUGCCCUUAGGUUCGGAAUAACUCCCCGAAAGGGGUGCUAAUACCGGAUAAUGUCUUCGGACCAAAGAUUUAUCCCUUUGGAUGGGCCCGCGUUGGAUUAGCUAGUUGGUAGGGUAAAAGCCUACCAAGGCGACGAUCCAUAGCUGGUCUGAGAGGAUGAUCAGCCACACUGGGACUGAGACACGGCCCAGACUCCUACGGGAGGCAGCAGUGGGGAAUAUUGGACAACGGGCGAAAGCCUGAUCCAGCAAUGCCGCGUGAGUGAUGAAGGCCUUAGGGUUGUAAAGCUCUUUUACCCGGGAUGAUAAUGACAGUACCGGGAGAAUAAGCUCCGGCUAGCUCCGUG